ACGCUGAAAAUAAGACAAUAUGGACAGUCAAUACGACGGUGACGAAAACUAGCAUCACAUGCAAAUGCGAUCUAGUAAAUCAAACAACCCAAACGAAAACAUUUUUUGAGAGACGCUAUUACUGGAAUGGAACAAGGGUCAGCAACAACCUCGAAGGACAGUUCAUGAAGAUUGGACUCUUUAAUACGAAGUCAACCUUUGAUGGAAUGAUGGUCGGCCCCAAAGCUCCAUGGUAUGAACUGCGUGUCAUGAAUGGUACAGUGGACAACAUUCCGGAGAAAUGCCUAAACUUGACCAACAAGGUGCCUCGAAAAGGGUUGACAUGGAAAAGCUUGUAUAAUUCCCCCUGUCAAAACAUCAUCAAAAACAACUAACGCAAAAGAGUGGUCUUGUAACUUCACAAAUAAACUGAAUGAGAGCACACUCUGCAAAUAA